rnacentral:rRNA from 1 species
GUCUUUUUGAUAAUGAUUUAAAGUCUGACCUGCUCGAUGAAUUAUUUAAAUGGCCGCAGUAUUUUGACUGUGCAAAGGUAGCAUAAUAAUUAGUUUCUUAAUUAGGAACUAGUAUGAAUGGUUGGACGAGAAAGAUUCUGUCUCAUUUUAAUUUUUAUUAGAAUUUUAUUUUUAAGUUAAAAAGCUUAAAUAAAUUUAAAAGACGAGAAGACCCUAUAGAGUUUUAUAUUAUUUUUUAUUUAUAUAUUUAGAAUUUAUAGUAAUAAUGUUAAGAAUAGUAUUUUAUUGGGGUGAUAGAAAAAUUAAAUAAACUUUUUUUAUAUUAAAACAUUUAUUUAUGAUUAAUUGAUCCAUUUAUUAUGAUUAUAAGAUUAAAUUACCUUAGGGAUAACAGCGUAAUUUUUUUUAAGAGUUCUUAUCGAAAAGAAAGUUUGCGACCUCGAUGUUGGAUUUUAAA